CAGUAGCCGCGGUAAUACGAAGGGUGCAAGCGUUAAUCGGAAUUACUGGGCGUAAAGCGUGCGUAGGCGGUUUGUUAAGUCAGAUGUGAAAUCCCCGAGCUUAACUUGGGAACUGCAUUUGAAACUGGCAAGCUAGAGUCUUGUAGAGGGGGGUAGAAUUCCAGGUGUAGCGGUGAAAUGCGUAGAGAUCUGGAGGAAUACCGGUGGCGAAGGCGGCCCCCUGGACAAAGACUGACGCACAGGUGCGAAAGCGUGGGGAGCAAACAGGAUUAGAUACCCGAGUAGUCCCUGUCUCUUAUAC
rnacentral:rRNA from 1 species